rnacentral:rRNA from 1 species
UACGAAGGGGGCUAGCGUUGCUCGGAAUCACUGGGCGUAAAGGGUGCGUAGGCGGGUUUUUAAGUCAGAGGUGAAAUCCUGGAGCUCAACUCCAGAACUGCCUUUGAUACUGAGAAUCUUGAGUAUGGGAGAGGUGAGUGGAACUGCGAGUGUAGAGGUGAAAUUCGUAGAUAUUCGCAAGAACACCAGUGGCGAAGGCGGCUCACUGGCCCGAUACUGACGCUGAGGCACGAAAGCGUGGGGAGCAAACAGGG